rnacentral:rRNA from 1 species
GUGUCAGCAGCCGCGGUAAUACGGAGGGUGCAAGCGUUAAUCGGAAUUACAGGGCGUAAAGCGCACGCAGGCGGUUGGAUAAGUUAGAUGUGAAAGCCCCGGGCUCAACCUGGGAAUUGCAUUUAAAACUGUCCAGCUAGAGUCUUGUAGAGGGGGGUAGAAUUCCAGGUGUAGCGGUGAAAUGCGUAGAGAUCUGGAGGAAUACCGGUGGCGAAGGCGGCCCCCUGGACAGAUACUGACACUCAGAUGCGAAAGCGUGGGGAGCAAACA